CUUUGAUCUUUUGAGACAGGGUUUCUCUGUGUAGCCCUGGCUGUUUCGGAACUCACUCUGUAGACCUGGCUGGCCUAGAACUCAGAAAUCCGCCUGUCUCUUCCUCCCAAGUGCUGGGAUUAAAGGCAUGCACCACCACUGCCUGGCAGUAUUGAAUACUUUUAGUAGAGCCAAGUGACAGGAACAGUUCUGGCAUUGUUACCAUGAGCAAAUUUGACUCUGUAAGAAUUUCCCUAGCUACCUAGAAGCCUUUUGUUUUCUUCUAUGCCAAAGUACUAUUGUAUUAUUGGACUAUAUAUUACAAAUAGUCUUCAAGUACUUAAGCUAUGCCAAAAUUACAACAAUGUUUUUGUUAUUUUAGGCUUUCUUCAUUUUGCUUGCCUGUGUCACCUCUGCUGAAUAGAUUCCAGGAGUUUCUUCACUGAGAUGACUUGAUCUACAUACACCUCAGCAUGCUUUGCUGAUUGUUUGCCACUAGACACCUGAGUAUCUCGUAACUCUAAGGUCUGGCUUUCCACUGCUAUCUUUUCAGACACUACUAAAAGUUGCUUGAAGACUUACCUUCUCUGUGAGGAGAUAGGAUGUUUCCUGGUAGUACUGCAGGGAAGUUAACUCUCAACCAGGAUAGAUCACAUAAUUUUACACAGAUGCAAGUGCCAAGAGCAAAUAAAUACAUGUCAGUGCGUAUGUGUGUAUUGAUGUAUAUUACUUAUGAGGGAGAUCAUGUGUCAGGACAUCCAUGUUCACAUGUGUGAAGACACAUGCCUUGGCAAAUGUGUGUGUUUACAUGUAUUCAGCUCUAAGUAUGGUCACAUGUCAUCAUGUAUGUACAUUUUGAUGCCUGCGUAAGUUCUGAGCCUGGUUAUGUUGCACAUAUGUUCAUGUUAACACACAGGGAGAUUCCAAAUUUGGUCACAUGUUGUCACAUAUGUACAUUUUAACAUGUGUGUAAGUUCUGAGAGAGAUCACAUGUUGACACAUAUGCAUGUGCUGGCAGGUGUGUAACUUCUGAGAGGUCACAUGGCAUUUAUGUUCAUGUUUCCACAUGUGCAGUUCUGAGUAUGGUUACAUGUCUGUGCAAAUUUGUGUGUUUACAAGUAGUAAAUUCUCAGAAGAAUCACAUGCAUGUACAAUACAGUCACCUGUAUGCAGUUCUCAGUGUGGUACAUAUUGACACAUAUGCACAUGCUUACAUGUAUGCACAUUACAAGUGUGGUCACAUGUUGGUACAUAUUCAUGUGUUUACAUACAUAUAUUUCCUGAAUGUGGUCACGUCAGCGCAUACAUAUGUGGAUGCUAAUUCAUAUGUGUGUUCUUUUCCAGCACAGUCACAUGUUUGUGAUAUAUGUAUGUUUACUUAUGUUCAUUUCCAUAUAUGGCCAUAUGUCAAUAUAUAUGCACAUGUUUGCAAUCAUGUAGUUCUCAAGCUCAGUUAUAUAUUGUUUUUUAUACACAUGCUCACUUGUGUGCUGUUCUGGGUUUUUUAUUUUGCCUUUUGUUUGUUUUGUUUGAGACAGUUUCUCCGUGUAGUCCUGGCUAUCCUGAGAACUUUCUCUGUAGACCAGAGGUAGACUUCUGCCACCUUCUGCCUUCUGAAUGCUGGGAAUACAGAUGUAUAUCACCAUGCCUGGCCUGCUGUGUGCAGUUCUGGACGGUGGGAAUAUGCUGGGAUAUUUCUGAGUGUUCAUGUGCAGGCAGUUGUAACUGUGGUUACAUGUUAGUACAUAUUAGCACAUAUGUGGUAUUCACACAUGUACAAUUCCUGAGCAAGGUAACAUGCCAGUGCAUAUGAUUACAUCACUUAUAUAGUUCAUAUAUCUGCAGUUUCCAAGCAUGGCCACAUGGUGGUGCAUUUUUCUCUCAUGACCACAGCUUCUCUUCCCUUCAUUCUUCCCAGUUUAUCCCCUCCCUUCUCCCCCAGAGCUAUCCAUCCAUCUAUCUCCCAUCAUCCCCCACCCCCCACCUCUGUCUGUCCCCCCAAAUGCAGGUCUCUCAGGAACGCCAACAAGAUACAAUAAGACCAGGUUUAAACUUCUCUAGGCACGAACCCUCAUAUCAAGGCCGGGCGGAGGCAACCUAGUAGGAGGAAAAGGGGCCCAAGAGCAGAAAUCAUCCCUACCACCUGGUGCCUUUUAACAUUUUUGGUUCCUGCAAUUGCUCAAGGUUACAUAUUCACAUCUGAAGAUUUGGAGCUAAGAACCACAGAUGACAGAGAACAUGCAGUGUGUAUCCUUCUGGUUUGGGUUACACUACUGAGUGUAAUAUUUUAUACUUUCAUUUACCUGCAAAUUCCACAAUUUAAUUUUUAAUCGGAAAUGAAUAGUAUCCAUGUUUUCAUUAUUUGUUCAUCAGUUGAAGGACAUUGAGGAUGUCUCUGUUUCCUAGCUACUGUGGAUGGAAUGGCGGUGAGCAUUGCUGAGCAAGCAUUUGUGGAAUAGGAUGUUGAAAAUUUUGGACAUAUGCCAAGGAGUGCUAUACUUGUGUAAUGUGGCAGACUUAUUUUUAGACUUGUGAGAAUGCUUCAAACUGAUCUUUAGAGUGGCUUCACCAGUUUUGCAGCCCCCUCCCAACAGUAAAUGAGGGUUCCCUUUUCUCAAUUUCCUCGAUAGUAUUUGUUGUUGGUUGUUCUGCUGAUCUUAG
rnacentral:lncRNA from 1 species